GACGAACGCUGGCGGCGUGCCUAAUACAUGCAAGUCGAACGCAGUGGGGACGGGUGAGUAACACGUGGGUAACCUCCAAUCAGAGGGGAUAACACUUGGAAACAGGUGCUAAACCGAUACUGAUGGAUGGACCCGCGGGGCAGUAGCGAGUUGGUGAGGUAACGGAUCACCAAGGCCACGAUGCAUAGCCGACCUGAGGUGGUGAUCGGCCCCGCUGGGACUGAGACACGGCCCAGACUCCUACGGGAGGCAGCAGUAGGGAAUCUUCGGCGAUGGACGAAAGUCUGACCGAGCAACGCCGCGUGAGUGAAGAAGUUUUUCGGAUCGUAAAACUCUGUUGUUAGAGAAGCGGUAUCUAACCAGAAAGCCACGGCUAACUCCGUGCCAGCAGCCGCGGUAAUAC
rnacentral:rRNA from 1 species